CUCAAAUUGAAAGGGAAAAAUUGAAGAUUUAUCAAUGCAUGAGUUAGGAAUGUUCAUCCCUAAGUGAAAUUAACAUCAAGCACAAAGAAGGAAGAAGGCGCAAGUCACUCGAAGGCACAAGCAUCUCAAGAUCGCGGUAAAUCCCUUGCUUGAUUGCGGCGCACCCGGACCGAACACACACACGUAAUGUCGACCUUAUGCGCUUCCGGUCCAAGUUGUUGUUUUGAUGGGUUAACUUACCAUUUUGUCUAGUAAAUGUUAA